rnacentral:piRNA from 1 species
UGGGUCUUUGAGGAAUUGCCACUGUCUUC